rnacentral:misc_RNA from 1 species
AAUUGUGUUAAAAAUAUUAAUAUACUUAAUCAUAUAUGUUUUCUUUUAAUAUUAGUACGAUACAUGUAACAAGGCUUACAAUACAAGUAUAUAAAAUUCUUUUAGAAAAAAAAUGUCAUUUCUCCAUUUAUUCUUUUAAUAAACAUUUUUAAAUAGACUUCUAUCCAUGUUAUAAAUAGAGAUACAUAUAACAUAAAGUCAAAAUCAAAUUAUUAAUAGUUCAUAAAAAUGUU